UGGGGCGUCGCCAAGCGGUAAGGCAGCGGUUUUUGGUACCGCCAUUCGCAGGUUCGAAUCCUGCCGCCCCAG
rnacentral:tRNA from 1 species